UACGGGGGGGGCAAGCGUUGUUCGGAAUUACUGGGCGUAAAGGGCUCGUAGGCGGCCAACUAAGUCAGACGUGAAAUCCCUCGGCUUAACCGGGGAACUGCGUCUGAUACUGGAUGGCUAGAGGUUGGGAGGGGGAUGCGGAAUUCCAGGUGUAGCGGUGAAAUGCGUAGAUAUCUGGAGGAACACCGGUGGCGAAGGCGGCAUCCUGGACCAAUUCUGACGCUGAUGAGCGAAAGCCAGGGGAGCAAACGGG
rnacentral:rRNA from 1 species